GAUGAACGCUGGCGGCGUGCCUAAUACAUGCAAGUCGAGCGAACGGACGAGAAGCUUGCUUCUCUGAUGUUAGCGGCGGACGGGUGAGUAACACGUGGAUAACCUACCUAUAAGACUGGGAUAACUUCGGGAAACCGGAGCUAAUACCGGAUGAUAUUUUGAACCGCAUGGUUCAAAAGUGAAAGACGGUCUUGCUGUCACUUAUAGAUGGAUCCGCGCUGCAUUAGCUAGUUGGUAAGGUAACGGCUUACCAAGGCAACGAUGCAUAGCCGACCUGAGAGGGUGAUCGGCCACACUGGAACUGAGACACGGUCCAGACUCCUACGGGAGGCAGCAGUAGGGAAUCUUCCGCAAUGGGCGAAAGCCUGACGGAGCAACGCCGCGUGAGUGAUGAAGGUCUUCGGAUCGUAAAACUCUGUCAUUAGGGAAGAACAUAUGUGUAAGUAACUGUGCACAUCUUGACGGUACCUAAUCAGAAAGCCACGGCUAACUACGUG
rnacentral:rRNA from 1 species